GGCUCAGGACGAACGCUGGCGGCGUGCUUAACACAUGCAAGUCGAACGAUGAACCACUUCGGUGGGGAUUAGUGGCGAACGGGUGAGUAACACGUGGGCAAUCUGCCCUGCACUCUGGGACAAGCCCUGGAAACGGGGUCUAAUACCGGAUACUGAUCAUCUUAGGCAUCCAAGCGGUUCGAAAGCUCCGGCGGUGCAGGAUGAGCCCGCGGCCUAUCAGCUAGUUGGUGAGGUAAUGGCUCACCAAGGCGACGACGGGUAGCCGGCCUGAGAGGGCGACCGGCCACACUGGGACUGAGACACGGCCCAGACUCCUACGGGAGGCAGCAGUGGGGAAUAUUGCACAAUGGGCGAAAGCCUGAUGCAGCGACGCCGCGUGAGGGAUGACGGCCUUCGGGUUGUAAACCUCUUUCAGCAG
rnacentral:rRNA from 1 species